GGAGUCCUUCCUCCCCAACUGGACAUAAGCUGGGUCAGAAUUCACUGGGCAUCUGUUGACUUUUCUACAACAGUGAAGAUAAUUCCAAAGGACUGGCUCUCCAGGUAACUUUUAAGAUGGUAUCUGUCUCCCUUCAACAUUUACCAUCAUCAUAUCUGCCAACAAUAAAGGCCUCAUUCUGAAUGCCCUCAGUUCUGCUAGAAUGAAAUUCUCUUUCCUCUUUGGGAAUUCCUUCAGAUUCUGGAAGCUUUCCUGCAUCAAUAAAAGUCUCCACCCGAAAUAUACCUAAAGGCCCAAUGCUCGCCAAGAUACAUGCUACUUCGCAAGACUGGAAACAAAUUCCAAAACCUUUUAAGUUCUCUCCUCACUGGCUCCACCAAACUUUUUAUUUUCUGGUGCUCUGGAUUGCUGAGAAUGGAGCUUUGUCAAGUUGUAUAAGCCCUCAAGACACUUGCAAAGAAACUGAAUAUUUUAACUAGCUAGACUAACCCCGCAGCCUCUCAGAUCUACCCAGUUCAGAAGUUACAGUGGAGAAUCUGACCAGUGGCAAUUUCCACUAAGAUGGGUUUACAUAUGGGUUUCCUGUGACCUACCUACUCCACCCUCAACCACACGAAAGGCAUUUGAGGACAGGACCCACAUCAUUU